UAUGGGGCUCAGGAAACAGAGUCUGGGGGUGUCUCCACCAUGGACUGGGCUGCACUUUUCCUCACUGUCCUGGCUCACUGCACAGUGUCUUGGGCAGAGGUACUGACUCAGCCUGGCUCUGUGUCUGGGUCUCUGGGACAGAAGGCCACCAUCUUUUGCGCCCGCAGCAAUGGCGACAUUGAGAGGUACUAUGUAACUUGGUACCAACAGCGCCCAGGCAGGGGCCCCACACCUGUGAUCUAUGAUAAUAAGAAAAGACCCUCUGGGGUUCCGGAUCGGUUCUCUGGCUCCAUAGACAUCUCCUCCAAUGCUGCCUCCCUGACCAUCUCAGGGCUGCAGCCUGAGGAUGAGGCCGACUACUACUGUCAGUCUCAUGGUGGUAGCACUAUUAGGUAUAAUCACACAGUGUUGCAGACUCAGGAGGACGUGUUUUCCAAGGGGUGA